GGCAAAAUGAACAAUCCCACUCAACCUGUGGUGUUCAAUGUGACUGAGAGCAAGGUUUCUGUGCGCACUGACGGGGGGGACUGAAGUGACUUGGGGCUGGAUGCCGAGUCAAACCAGAGCGCUGCCCCGAUUUUCUGGCAUUCCUUCCGACGGGAAGAUAACCUCCGUUGCGCGUAAAUCUGUACCUUGUUUUCCCUUUCAAAACUUCCGUGGUCGGAGCUGCAUAAACGGUCGGAUCUUCUUCCACACUUUGACCUGUCAUCUGAUGUAGGACGAAGAUGAUGAUGGUAUACGAGCGUCUGCUGGCACUUGACAAAGAGCCUAUACUGAGUAGCUAGCUGCUGCCCUUAUACAAACCUACUCCUGUACGCUUGCAUGCAGAUCGGCCGGGGAGGA